rnacentral:rRNA from 1 species
AUUGAACGCUGGCGGCAUGCCUUACACAUGCCAGUCGAACGGCAGCGCGGACUUCGGUCUGGCGGCGAGUGGCGAACGGGUGAGUAAUACAUCGGAACGUACCCUGUUGUGGGGGAUAACUAGUCGAAAGAUUAGCUAAUACCGCAUACGACCUGAGGGUGAAAGUGGGGGACCGCAAGGCCUCACGCAGCAGGAGCGGCCGAUGUCUGAUUAGCUAGUUGGUGGGGUAAAGGCCCACCAAGGCGACGAUCAGUAGCUAGUCUGAGAGGACGAUCAGCCACACUGGGACUGAGACAAGGCCCAGACUCCUAAGGGAGGCAGCAGUGGGGAAUUUUGGACAAUGGGGGCAACCCUGAUCCAGCAAUGCCGCGUGUGUGAAGAAGGCCUUCGGGUUGUAAAGCACUUUUGUCCGGAAAGAAAUCGCGCUGGUUAAUACCUGGCGUGGAUGACGGUACCGGAAGAAUAAGCACCGGUUAACUACGUG